AGAAGCCAAGACUGUGGGGAUACGAGGAAAACAUGGCCCUGCCCCCCCCAGCAGCUAUGGGACCACGUAUUUUUUGUCUCACUGCUCACAGCCCUUACACAUUUGGGGAUGAGCAGGGCAGAGACAGGAGGGACCGACCCUGUGUGGAGCUGCAAGGCACAACCUGCCGGCGAUGCCCAGCCUUGAGCUCAGCAGAGCGUGACUCCGCAGAGGUCCCUUCCACCGAGCGGUGCGAGACAGAAACACCACCACAUGCACACACAGAGGAGAAGUCAGGUCCACUUCAUGAUGAGCACCAAGCAAGACGAGGCUGCAGCAGGCAAGCAUCAGGACCGUCAGAUCAAGAGACAAUCAGAUGACAUGUGAGAUAGCCACAAAGAAACACACACCCCAGCCUUCCUUCCUAAAAUGCCACACAAAAUGUGGUUUUCCGCAUCUAAAUAUCCAUGGCUACUAGUUUACAUUACUUUUUAACUGGUGGAACUGGAAGCAAGAGAGCACCCAAUGAUCACAGCCACAGCAGGAUUUGUUACUAAUUUACUCCUGAAAAUUACCAGUAUUACACAAGGGAGAUAGAACAGAGAAUGACAAUCAAGCACAUUUCACAGAGUUUUGUCAUCUGGUCAAAUAUAUUUGUCAUUUCAGACCCAAAAAGGAAUGUAGAGGAAAGUGCACAAAGUCUCUUGCACUUUCAGUGAAAUCAGUAUUAUGUAAACAAAUGCUGAAGUGUUCUGUUGAGCAAAAGCUCAAAAUGUUUCUAAAUUUUGACUCUGGUUCUGUAAACACUUAAGUGUAUGCUUGUCUUCAUAUAUAUCAACAGGUAGUGUGAAUAUCCAGGAUGAUGGCAUACGUAAACACUGAAUUACAAGCCCAGGAGUUCCAGCAUGCCUGCUUUAUUUCUCGUCUAGGUUUUUAAAUUUGGUAUACCUGUAAGCCUUACAAAACCUAUCAGUUUAGCAUUUUAAAAAUGAGCCAUUUUUAGAUAGCCAAAGGCCCGCAAAGUUUGCUAAAAGCUUUUUUAAUAAUUCAAAUUAUAUUUUCCCAUGUGUCUCUAAAUAACAGAAAAGGCUGAUCUUGAUUUACCAAACCCUACACACCCACAGAAAGUCAAUAUUGGGCCGAAAAGAUUUCAUCCUAAAGGUCAUUACUAUUUUUUGAGAAGCUGUGGGUGCUGGAAUAUAAUGGUCUCACAAAUGGAACUUCCUUUUGUUCUCAGACAGAGCUUAGAGCUUUGUGGCAGUAAUUCUAUAAUGAAAUACAGAUUAAUAUGAGGGGUCACUAGCAGGCAUGUCUAAUAACCACCAUCAUCAAGUAGCACUUCCUGGGCUUACAGUAUCCAGCCUAUACAUAAAUGCUAACCUCAGUGAACAGCUAAUGUUUAGAAUUACGGUACUGAAAAAAAUGAGGUUUUUAAAAUAAGUAUACAAGUUAUGGCUAAGUAUUUUUACCCAUAAUUAAGAUGUAUUCCCGAAGAGCAGCUGCUAUAAAGCUUACAUAAACUUGACAUGAUUUUCCCCUUUCUAAAAUCCAUCACGGCAACUUAACAACCACAUGAGUCUUAUCUCUGAAUCAUCAUGCUAUGUGGUUGAAGGGAAAACCAGACAAAGUUGCUUGCAUUAAAGAAAGCGCUUUUUUUUUUUUUUUCCUCAUUAAGGUGUUAUGUUUCAUUGCAGUAAAUUCCUCCAGUGUCACCUGCAGAGUGCAGUCAAUCACCAUAAAGGAGAGUUUUAAACCACCUUACAGAUGCCAAAGGAUUACAGUUUAGGCAAGUAUUAUGAGCACCUCGCUUUUUUCAUUCUUUUACAUUUUCCCUCCUCAGUUUAUUGUUCGUUAUCAUCAAACAGAGCACAGCCCCUUGGGCCCAACCAUCCUCAUCACCUCCACAGUUAGUGCAACUGAAGCUUUUGUAUGCAGGCUUUUGGGACUAGGGUAGUUUAUUCCUGGUGAGCACAUACCAGGUCAAAGGAGGUCCUCUCACAAUUUAAAUCCCUAAAUCUUUUGCCUCACAUGACACCAUUUUCUGUUUAACUUCUGGAGUAGUUUUGACCAUUUCCUCCUCUAGAUUAUUACAUAUACAGACAUAGACGUAUCACAGAGUCACAGAAUGGUUUGGGUUGGAAGGGACCUUGAAGAUCACUCAGUUACAAUCCCCUCCCAUGGGCAGGGACACCUUCCACUAGAUCAGGUUGCUCAAAGCCCCUCCAGCAUAUCAAUAAAGAUAUUCCUGAGUGACACUGGAAAUGCUGGAAAUUGGCACAAGCAAUCUGAAGCUGAAAGUGAAGAAAUGUAUUUAGCUGGUGGCAACCCUUUUCACCUGCUUUGACCUCUGCAAUUGCCAGUGGAAAGACCCUGACCAGAAGCACAGCGUGAGCCUCUGAUGGUUGGUGUUUUGUACCAAGUGGUUUCCAAUGAAUGUAUGUGCCUGGACUAGCCUUGCCCAUGGGCCUAGUAUUACCCCAUGGUUUGAAGAUGAACAAACUCUGCGUGUUCAUUCUCUGAGCCCAGAAGGAUCCCUGCUAUGCUGUGGUAGCCCCUUGUUGGGGAGCAGAUGUUGAAUCGAGGAGCUGGGUCCUCACACCCACCUACUACGUGCCCAGUGAGUAGCUCCAUUAAUUGAAAAAUUCUGUAUGUGUGAAAACAUUUUGCUUCUGUGGUUCUAUAAAUAAAUCCCUUUGCUGUUUUGCAGUUAAACUAUAGCCUUUGUCAUCUGUUAGUCAUCACACCUACUGUACUACUACACUGCUGCAAAGGUUAAUGAUGCCUUCUACAGAUGUAACACAUCUCUUGUAAGCACAAACUGAAUACUCAGAUGAUUUAAUGUAUAGUUGUUUGUUUUACCCACCAAGGCUGGCAAUGCAGUGAGACUUUGCGCAGUGUUUUGUUCAUACCCUUCAGCAGCUGCACAGAGUGAAGUUCAUUGUCUUGCCCGUUACUUGAAAUGCGCUGUGCAGUGUCAUCUCUGCCCUUCUUUGUUU